UUUUAUGAGAGUUUGAUCCUGGCUCAGGACGAACGCUGGCGGCGUGCCUAAUACAUGCAAGUCGAACGCCUCUUUUUCCACCGGAGCUUGCUCCAUCGGAAAAAGAGGAGUGGCGAACGGGUGAGUAACACGUGGGUAACCUGCCCAUCAGAAGGGGAUAACACUUGGAAACAGGUGCUAAUACCGUAUAACAAUCGAAACCGCAUGGUUUCGAUUUGAAAGGCGCUUUCGGGUGUCGCUGAUGGAUGGACCCGCGGUGCAUUAGCUAGUUGGUGAGGUAACGGCUCACCAAGGCGACGAUGCAUAGCCGACCUGAGAGGGUGAUCGGCCACAUUGGGACUGAGACACGGCCCAAACUCCUACGGGAGGCAGCAGUAGGGAAUCUUCGGCAAUGGACGAAAGUCUGACCGAGCAACGCCGCGUGAGUGAAGAAGGUUUUCGGAUCGUAAAACUCUGUUGUUAGAGAAGAACAAGGAUGAGAGUAACUGUUCAUCCCUUGACGGUAUCUAACCAGAAAGCCACGGCUAACUACGUGCCAGCAGCCGCGGUAAUACGUAGGUGGCAAGCGUUGUCCGGAUUUAUUGGGCGUAAAGCGAGCGCAGGCGGUUUCUUAAGUCUGAUGUGAAAGCCCCGGCUCAACCGGGGAGGGUCAUUGGAAACUGGGAGACUUGAGUGCAGAAGAGGAGAGUGGAAUUCCAUGUGUAGCGGUGAAAUGCGUAGAUAUAUGGAGGAACACCAGUGGCGAAGGCGGCUCUCUGGUCUGUAACUGACGCUGAGGCUCGAAAGCGUGGGGAGCAAACAGGAUUAGAUACCCUGGUAGUCCACGCCGUAAACGAUGAGUGCUAAGUGUUGGAGGGUUUCCGCCCUUCAGUGCUGCAGCUAACGCAUUAAGCACUCCGCCUGGGGAGUACGACCGCAAGGUUGAAACUCAAAGGAAUUGACGGGGGCCCGCACAAGCGGUGGAGCAUGUGGUUUAAUUCGAAGCAACGCGAAGAACCUUACCAGGUCUUGACAUCCUUUGACCACUCUAGAGAUAGAGCUUCCCCUUCGGGGGCAAAGUGACAGGUGGUGCAUGGUUGUCGUCAGCUCGUGUCGUGAGAUGUUGGGUUAAGUCCCGCAACGAGCGCAACCCUUAUUGUUAGUUGCCAUCAUUUAGUUGGGCACUCUAGCAAGACUGCCGGUGACAAACCGGAGGAAGGUGGGGAUGACGUCAAAUCAUCAUGCCCCUUAUGACCUGGGCUACACACGUGCUACAAUGGGAAGUACAACGAGUCGCAAAGUCGCGAGGCUAAGCUAAUCUCUUAAAGCUUCUCUCAGUUCGGAUUGUAGGCUGCAACUCGCCUACAUGAAGCCGGAAUCGCUAGUAAUCGCGGAUCAGCACGCCGCGGUGAAUACGUUCCCGGGCCUUGUACACACCGCCCGUCACACCACGAGAGUUUGUAACACCCGAAGUCGGUGAGGUAACCUUUUGGAGCCAGCCGCCUAAGGUGGGAUAGAUGAUUGGGGUGAAGUCGUAACAAGGUAGCCGUAUCGGAAGGUGCGGCUGGAUCACCUCCUUU
rnacentral:rRNA from 1 species